CCUACGGGGGGCUGCAGUGGGGAAUUUUGGGCAAUGGGGGAAACCCUGACCCAGCAACGCCGCGUGAAGGACGAAAUCCCUCUGGGAUGUAAACUUCGAAAGUUCGGGAAGAAAACCCGGUGAAGAAUAUGCACCGGGGAUGACGGUACCGAACGUAAGCCCCGGCUAACUACGUGCCAGCAGCCGCGGUAAUACGUAGGGGGCAAGCGUUGUUCGGAAUUACUGGGCGUAAAGGGCGCGUAGGCGGUACGACAAGUCGGAAGUGAAAGCCCGGG
rnacentral:rRNA from 1 species